UCGAUGCUGAAAUGCAUCAUUCUAUCGAGUAAAAGCAGUGCGCGAAGGUGGUUGGAGUUAUCAGUUUGGGAAAACCAGAGCCCAAAGGCACACCAGGUUGGUAAAAACAGAACCCCUUAACUGAGAUAACGGAAACUUCCAGUCGUCGGAGAAUGACCGGCAUCGGAGACCCCACAAUGGGGUCGCUGGAGUCUGUCGAACACGUCUGUAACGAUGGCUAAUGCAAAGGCUCGGGUCGCGUGAAGUAACGGAGGAAGUAACGGAGAAACAACAGAAUACUCCCAGUGGCCGGCAAAGGACCGAUGUUGGAUGCCUCACAACGGACUCAUCGGAGUCCGUCGUCCAAGUUUGUGGCAGAGUUGAAAGUGCACGGCGACAGUACAACACCUUCGACAGAGAUGAAGUGAAAAAACCAAGUUCGCUGGCAAGGACCGACGCCGGACGGCCCUUAGCGAGGACGUCGGUGUUCGCCGGCCUCGUCUUUGACAGAGAGAAGGAGAAUCUU